GCUCCCGUGGUGGAAUUGGUAGACACGCAGGACUUAAAAUCCUGUGGCUUCACGGCCGUACCGGUUCAAUUCCGGUCGGGAGUA
rnacentral:tRNA from 1 species